GAUAACUGAUAAUUUGAGUAGUAGAAUGAUGGAGUAACGCCCUGAAAUGCUACCCUUAAUACUCCGAAUAGCGUUUUAUUGAGUAAACAAUAAAAGGUUAUAAGCUCGGUGAAGUCGGCUAAGAGCGUGCCCUAGUACUAUAAAGUUUAGUAACGGAAAAGUGAACCAGAGAUGGUCAAGCACGUGAUAGGUCGGAGGUCUAUAAA
rfam:Epulopiscium sp. Nuni2H_MBin001 Nuni2HMBin001_87, whole genome shotgun sequence.